UACCAGCACCCCGAGUGGUCGGGACGUUUAUUGGGCCUAAAGCAUCCGUAGCCGGUUCUACAAGUCUUCCGUUAAAUCCAACUGCUUAACAGGUGGGCUGCGGAAGAUACUAUAGAGCUAGGAGGCGGGGAGAGGCAAAGCGGUACUCGAUGGGUAGGGGUAAAAAUCCGUUGAUCCAUUGAAGACCACCAGUGGCGAAGGCGGC
rnacentral:rRNA from 1 species